GGUGCUUGCAUCAUGAUUUACAUUUGAGUGAGUGGCGAACUGGUGAGUAACACGUGGGAAACCUGCCCAGAAGCGGGGGAUAACACCUGGAAACAGAUGCUAAUACCGCAUAACAACUUGGACCGCAUGGUCCGAGCUUGAAAGAUGGCUUCGGCUAUCACUUUUGGAUGGUCCCGCGGCGUAUUAGCUAGAUGGUGGGGUAACGGCUCACCAUGGCAAUGAUACGUAGCCGACCUGAGAGGGUAAUCGGCCACAUUGGGACUGAGACACGGCCCAAACUCCUACGGGAGGCAGCAGUAGGGAAUCUUCCACAAUGGACGAAAGUCUGAUGGAGCAACGCCGCGUGAGUGAAGAAGGGUUUCGGCUCGUAAAACUCUGUUGUUAAAGAAGAACAUAUCUGAGAGUAACUGUUCAGGUAUUGACGGUAUUUAACCAGAAAGCCACGGCUAACUACGUGCCAGCAGCCGCGGUAAUACGUAGGUGGCAAGCGUUGUCCGGAUUUAUUGGGCGUAAAGCGAGCGCAGGCGGUUUUUUAAGUCUGAUGUGAAAGCCUUCGGCUCAACCGAAGAAGUGCAUCGGAAACUGGGAACCUUGAGUGCAGAAGAGGACAGUGGAACUCCAUGUGUAGCGGUGAAAUGCGUAGAUAUAUGGAAGAACAUCAGUGGCGAAGGCGGCUGUCUGGUCUGUAACUGACGCUGAGGCUCGAAAGUAUGGGUAGCAAACAGGAUUAGAUUCCUUGGUAGUCCAUACCGUAAUCGAUGCAUGCUAAGUGUUGGAGGGUUUCCGCCCUUCAGUGCUGCAGCUAACGCAUUAAGCAUUCCGCCUGGGGAGUACGGCCGCAAGGCUGAAUCUCAAAGGAAUUGACGGGGGCCCGCACAAGCGGUGGAGCAUGUGGUUUAAUUCGAAGCUACGCGAAGAACCUUACCAGGUCUUGACAUACUAUGCAAAUCUAAGAGAUUAGACGUUCCCUUCGGGGACAUGGAUACAGGUGGUGCAUGGUUGUCGUCAGCUCGUGUCGUGAGAUGUUGGGUUAAGUCCCGCAACGAGCGCAACCCUUAUUAUCAGUUGCCAGCAUUAAGUUGGGCACUCUGGUGAGACUGCCGGUGACAAUCCGGAGGAAGGUGGGGAUGACGUCAAAUCAUCAUGCCCCUUAUGCCCUGGGCUACACACGUGCUACAAUGGAUGGUACAACGAGUUGCGAACUCGCGAGAGUAAGCUAAUCUCUUAAAGCCAUUCUCAGUUCGGAUUGUAGGCUGCAACUCGCCUACAUGAAGUCGGAAUCGCUA
rnacentral:rRNA from 1 species